UACGGAGGAUGCGAGCGUUAUCCGGAUUUACUGGGUGUAAAGGGCGUGUAGGCGGAGACGCAAGUCAGGAGUGAAAUCCCCGGGCUCAACCCAUAGCCUGCAUUUGAAACUGUAUUUCUUGAGUGCUGGAGAGGCAAUCGGAAUUCCGUGUGUAGCGGUGAAAUGCGUAGAUAUUAGGAGGAACACCAGUGGCGAAGGCGGCUUACUGGACUGUAACUGACACUGAGGCACGAAAGCGUGGGGAGCAA
rnacentral:rRNA from 1 species